rnacentral:lncRNA from 1 species
AAUCCCAGAGCGUCGCCUUCGGUCUUCCCGUCGAUCAAGCCAGUAUCCAGAGAGGGUCAGGGCGACCCGGGAAGCAGAGGAAACGGUGGCUGGAUCCGACCUCCUCUUCUGGCUUUGGAGACCGGGGGCCGGAGGCGUCGGGAGCGGGGCGCACGACCCCUCGGCGCCGAGCCCGGGGCGCCCCCGCCUCCCCCGGGCCAGCGGUCAGCGGACGGAGCCCGAGCCCCGGGCUGGCCCCGGCCGCGGGGGGCCCCCUCCUCGCCGUGCCCUCGGCGAGCAGCCACCGGGAGCCCCGGGAGCGGCGGCCGAUCAGCUGAGACCGGCCGGGCCGAGGCUUCCCCGCGCCGCCCCGGCCCCCCGGAACGCGGGCCCCGGCCCCGGGGGGCGCAGAGGGCGGGAGCGGCGCGGCGCGCCGGGCGGGGGGCCCGGGCUCCCCUCGCGUCGCCCCCUCAGCCCGGGCUCCGCGCUGCGGGACGAGCCCCCCGGCUACUCCCCAGUCGCAGAGGAGGGAUUCCGGGGGAUGGGCCCCCUGGCGUUGCCCCUCCUCCCGGAGCGUCCCCUGCCCAGGAGAGAGAGGAGCGGCGACAGGCCUAGCCGCUAGGAAGGUGCUCUGCGAGCCGCAGCCGCCGCCGCCGCCGCCGCCGGGGAGGGGUGUUGUUUCCCUCACACAGGAGGAGCCGCUGAAGCAGCCGCCGCCAUUUUGAACCCGUCAGACUCUCACAUAGACACAGGUAGCAGGCGCGCGAGUGGUCUUCGCGACGGCCCGGGGGCGGCGGCGGCGGCGGCGGCCAGCGCGCCCACCGCAGGCCGCAGGCGCCCGGGGAGGUGGCCCAGGAAGCCCCCGCUCCCCGGCCACGCUCAGGUUUCCGCAGCGCCGGUGCCCCCGGCGGCCCCGGGUGGGACGUGACCCCGCCCCCGGCGAGUCGGGGCGCCCCCCACGGAGGGGUGUGCGCGGGCCGCCCCCGGCCCCCGGCCCGACCCCGCCGCCCGGGCCUGCGGCGGGCGCGGGAGGGCCCGGCCGGGAAAGAUGUCUCCUCGCGGUGCGCGCACAGCUUCGCGCGAGGGUCAGCGACGGGGCAGCGGCGGCCCGAGCCGCGCCGGCCCUGCCCACGGACGGGCUCCCGCGGCUCGACCGCUGCCCGACGGGCGAGCAGGCUGCGGACGUCGACGGACCCCGCCGCCAGGUGUCUGAGCCGUCGCCAUGCGAGCAGACCAGCCGCGAUCAGGGCAUUUUUCCAGCCAAUCUCGUGCUCUGGGGCCCGUUUGAAUUCCCCCAUCGGGGAAAGGACCGUGGCUGGGGCGUGCACGACGGGAUUGUUUCGUUGACGUCGUCCCGUGGCCCCGGCCUUAGCUCCCACUCCCCGGAGCCCAUGAUUCCCGGGAGCCAGGAACGCAGGGGAGAGGGAGGGCGUGGGUUGACUCGCAAACUUGCACAGAGAGCCUUCAACUCUUUGCAAGGCGAUUGCGAUGAUGAUACCUUCUGCCAAGGGCUGAACUCUAGGGUAAAGUCGCUCCAUUAA